rnacentral:rRNA from 1 species
GACGUAGGGUGCGAGCGUUGUCCGGAGUUAUUGGGCGUAAAGCGCGCGCAGGCGGCUUGGCGCGCCCGACGUGAAAGCCCCCGGCUUAACCGGGGAGGGUCGUCGGGUACGGCCAGGCUUGAGGGCGGGAGAGGGUGGUGGAAUUCCCGGUGUAGUGGUGAAAUGCGUAGAGAUCGGGAGGAACACCUGUGGCGAAGGCGGCCACCUGGGCCGACCCUGACGCUGAGGCGCGAAGGCGUGGGGAGCGAACGGG